UUAGUCAAUUUAUUCUGAAAAUAAAAUUUUAUUGAAUUUGAUAAUUUUAUAUUAUUUAUUUAAAAUAUUAUGGUUUGAUUAGUUUUAACGAAAAAAUUUUUUUAAUUAUAGAUGAUUUGUAUUGUAAAAGAAUAAUUUUUAUUAUAAAAAAGAAGAAUUUAUUUUUUGUACCUUGUGUAUCAGGGUUAACCAAAUUAUUGAUAUUGAUUUGUCAAUCUCGAAUCCAAAAGAGCUAAAAUUUUAUUUUUUAAAUGUUUCAUAAUUUUUUAAAAUAUAAUUUUGGUAGUGAAAUGUUAUUCGUUUUUUGAUAUAUCUAGUUUUUUAAGAAAUAAAUUUAAUUUACUUAUUUUUAAAAUUAUUAUUUAUUAAUUAAUUCAAUUUUGAAAAUAUGAAAUUUUUCUAGGGAAAAGCUUAGAGGAAUAAAUUUACUUAAUUUGUAAAUAUUGUUUUGGGAGUAGGAUUAUAAAUUUCCGUCUUUUUUAAAAUGUUACAGUUUUCUUACUAUAAGUUAUUAUUUAUAUUAUUAAUAAGUUUUCUAUUAAAAUUUUGGAUGCAAUGUUAUAAUUUAAGAAAUAAUGAUUAAAUUAGUAUAUUUAUAUUUAUAUCUAUAGUUUAUCUUGAAGAUAUUAAAAAUGAACUCGGCAAUUAGAUUUUUCACCUGUUUAUUAAAAACAUGUCCUUUUGAGAAUAAUUUAAGGUUGGGCCUGCUCAAUGACGAAGUUAAAUAGCUGCAGUAUUUUGACUGUACUAAGGUAGCAUAAUCAUUAGUUUUUUAAUUGAAAGCUGGAAUGAAAGGUUUGAUGAAAAAAUAGCUGUCUCUUUAAUAAAUGUAGAAAUUUAUUUUUAAGUAAAAAAGCUUAAAUAUGUUCAAAAGACGAGAAGACCCUAUAGAGUUUAAUAAUUUACUGAUUUUAUUAACUAGGCUAGAAAUUUAAAUUGAUCAAUAAAAAUUAUUUGAUUGGGGUGAUUGUAAAAUUAAAAUAACUUUUACUUUAAAGUACUUUGAUUUAAGGUUGGUAUGAUCCAUAUUUGAUGAUUAUAAGAAUAAAUUACCUUAGGGAUAACAGCGUAAUCUUUUUUUAGAGCUCUAAUCGAUAAAAAGGAUUGCGACCUCGAUGUUGGAUUAAAAUAAACUUUUAGGCGCAAAAGCUAAAUAGUUGAGUCUGUUCGACUUUUAAAAUUUUACAUGAUCUGAGUUUAAACCGGCGUGAGCCAGGUUGGUUUCUAUCUUUGAUAAAAAUGAAAAUUUUAGUACGAAAGGACCAAAUUUU
rnacentral:rRNA from 1 species